GACGAACGCUGGCGGCGUGCCUAACACAUGCAAGUCGAACGGAAAGGCCCUGCUUGCAGGUCACUCGAGUGGCGAACGGGUGGGUAACACGUGGGUGAUCUGCCCUGCACUACGGGUUAAGCCUGGGAAACUAACCCUAAUACCGGACAGGUGAUAUUUUUAGCUUGAUGGUUGGAAAGUGUAUUCGGUGUAGGAUGAGCUCGCGGCCUAUCCGCUUGUUGGUGGGUUAAUGUCCUACCAAGGCGGCGGCGGGUAGCCGGCCUGAGAGGGUGGACGGCCGCAUUGAGACUGAGGGGCGGCCGAGGCUGCGACGGGAGCGAGCAGGGGGGAAGAUUGAAGGAGGGGCGCAAGCCUGAUGAAGCGAGGCCGCGGGGGGGAAAACGGCCUUCGGAUUGAAGACUCCUUGCGCUAGGAACGAAGCAUAUUGUGACGGUACCUAGAUAGGAAGCACCGGCUAACUACGUG
rnacentral:rRNA from 1 species